GCAAUCGAAAGCGUUGUAGGAUUUUUGAAGAUUUUUGUACAUUUUUUUGGGGUACUUUGUUUAGCCAUUUUGAUAUUUUGGAUGAAUGUAAGGAGACUUCGAUGCUUCUGGAAAUUUCAAAUUUCGUCGAUCAAAGCGUCGUUACAAAUGAAACAAGAUGGUGUUAUAUUAAAUUCGACCACGACAAUUAGCUGUAUGAAGAUGACUGGAAAAUAUUUACGAUGACUGGGGCGUGUUUGCACUGACUGAGGCGGAUUUGAUGUAACUAAAGCGGACUAGAGCGGGUUAGAGCAUGCUGGAGCGGGAUGGAGCUGCUUGGACCAGACUGUGGAGUGGGUUUAGAGCAAAACUGAACGGGCUAGGGCGGACUGGCGAACGUUUGAGGUCCUGUAGAUGCCAUUAGACCUGAAACCACAUAACGCGAGUGGUCCAUCCUAUACCUCUACAUCCUAUGUUAUAACCUGACACAAACGGCUACUGUGGUCAAAUAUUUUUUCCAGCACGCUAAUAAUUCCUCUAUUUUUUGGUACCAUGGUAACCUAAAAUGGCGGGAAAGUAUCACAGUAAUCCCUCUAUUUAACAGAUGCAUUUUUGUCACUUAAUAUUCAUGGGUUGUGUCCAUCAUUUUUUUGAAAUUGUCCG